rnacentral:rRNA from 2 species
UGAUGGAGCAACACCGCGUGAGUGAAGAAGGGUUUCGGCUCGUAAAACUCUGUUGUUGGAGAAGAACGUGCGUAAGAGUAACUGUUUACGCAGUGACGGUAUCCAACCAGAAAGUCACGGCUAACUACGUGCCAGCAGCCGCGGUAAUACGUAGGUGGCAAGCGUUAUCCGGAUUUAUUGGGCGUAAAGCGAGCGCAGGCGGUUGCUUAGGUCUGAUGUGAAAGCCUUCGGCUUAACCGAAGAAGUGCAUCGGAAACCGGGCGACUUGAGUGCAGAAGAGGACAGUGGAACUCCAUGUGUAGCGGUGGAAUGCGUAGAUAUAUGGAAGAACACCAGUGGCGAAGGCGGCUGUCUGGUCUGCAACUGACGCUGAGGCUCGAAAGCAUGGGUAGCGAACAGGAUUAGAUACCCUGGUAGUCCAUGCCGUAAACGAUGAGUGCUAGGUGUUGGAGGGUUUCCGCCCUUCAGUGCCGAAGCUAACGCAUUAAGCACUCCGCCUGGGGAGUACGACCGCAAGGUUGAAACUCAAAGGAAUUGACGGGGGCCCGCACAAGCGGUGGAGCAUGUGGUUUAAUUCGAAGCUACGCGAAGAACCUUACCAGGUCUUGACAUCUUGCGCCAACCUCAGAGAUGAG